rnacentral:rRNA from 2 species
UACGGAGGAUCCAAGCGUUAUCCGGAUUUAUUGGGUUUAAAGGGUGCGUAGGCGGCCUGUUAAGUCAGAGGUGAAAACUUGCAGCUCAACUGUAAGCUUGCCUUUGAUACUGAUGGGCUUGAAUAAACUAGAGGUAGGCGGAAUGUGACAAGUAGCGGUGAAAUGCAUAGAUAUGUCACAGAACACCAAUUGCGAAGGCAGCUUACUAUGGUUUAAUUGACGCUGAGGCACGAAAGCGUGGGGAUCAAACAGG